rnacentral:lncRNA from 1 species
UUGCAAUCAAUUUUGACUCUCCAUUUAUUUGCAUAUAUCAUUCUCGAGCCUAGUUUCUAUCAUUAGUACAGUAUAAAAGUCCAUGAAGUUUGCCCAUAGACCUGCAGUGUGCCUAUGGCCAGCUUGAUUAAUGUCUGUAAAUGCUACCGAAUCGACAACCACACUACUCAUGAUGGUGAUACUUUGUAGACGCUUUGGAGGCUCGACGAUGUCCUGAGCUGAACAUAGAUCCAUUCCCACACCAUGGUCCAAUCUUAUGGACACGGUACUGUGUACAAGGACGAACCUCUAGUGUUUUGUUCUCAGACAGAGAAGGGAAAUGUAUGUGUGAAAUAAGUUUACUAACAAACUAAGUAGGAAUUGUGUUCAGAGUGAGAAAUACUUUCAUAACAUAUAAUUCAUAUGUUGUUAAAUUGUAUGUUUUUAUACAGAAAUUAAUGGUAAAAGACCGAAAUAGGAUCAGAGAAACUUAAAGAUAGAAUCCUUAUAUUGAAACAGAGGAAGUAGUAUCUGUACCUACCUAGAUCUAUUCUCGAACACUAGAAUUGUGUGCCAGCUGCAGACAUUGAUGUGCAGGCCUUGGCAUCAGGGCCGGGCCAUAGUACACGGUCCAGUUGUUGACAGCCAACUCGCCGAUCCUGGGAAGGUUCAAGAGCGAUGCCUGGUUCACCCUCAUGCCCCCCAAGUGUGGUGCAAGUAUAGACCUUGGAUCCUGAUUUCCUUGCCCUGCGUCAUAUCUGUCUUCAGGAGCUGCGAUCGACCUGCCCAUCGAGGUGGUGUGGUUCAUAUAAAUAACUUAUAUACGAUGAUUCAUAGUGGUAUAUAUCUG